rnacentral:rRNA from 1 species
UCAAGCCCCAGUAAACGGCGGCCGUAACUAUAACGGUCCUAAGGUAGCGAAAUUCCUUGUCAGGUAAGUUCUGACCCGCACGAAAGGUGUAACGAUUUGAGCACUGUCUCGACAACACGCCCGGUGAAAUUGAAGAACCAGUGAAGAUACUGGUUACCCGCAACAGGACGGAAAGACCCCAUGGAGCUUUACUGCAGCCUGAUACUGGGAUUCGAUGAUAUAUGUACAGGAUAGGAGGGAGGCUAAGAAGCGAGUACGCUAGUAUUCGUGGAGCCGCUGGUGGGAUACCUCUCUUAUAUCAUUGGAUUUCUAACUUGCAUCUGUGAACCAGAUGAAGGACAAUGUCAGGCGGGCAGUUUGACUGGGGCGGUCGCCUCCAAAAGAGUAACGGAGGCGCUCGAAGGUCACCUCAGAAUGAUUGGAAACCAUUCAAAGAGUGUAAAGGCAAAAGGUGGCUUAACUGCGAGAGCGACGGUUCGAGCAGGUACGAAAGUAGGACUUAGUGAUCCGGUGGUAAUAAGUGGGAAUACCAUCGCUCAACGGAUAAAAGCUACCCUGGGGAUAACAGGCUUAUCUCCCCCAAGAGUUCACAUCGACGGGGAGGUUUGGCACCUCGAUGUCGGCUCAUCGCAUCCUGGGGCUGAAGUAGGUCCCAAGGGUUGGGCUGUUCGCCCAUUAAAGCGGUACGCGAGCUGGGUUCAGAACGUC